rnacentral:rRNA from 1 species
GAUGAACGCUGGCGGCGUGCUUAACACAUGCAAGUCGAACGGUGAACGAGGGAGCUUGCUCCCUCCGGAUCAGUGGCGAACGGGUGAGUAACACGUGAGCAAUCUGCCCCGAACUCUGGGAUAAGCGCUGGAAACGGCGUCUAAUACCGGAUACGACGCGCGAGGGCAUCCUCUGCGCGUGGAAAGAAUUUCGGUUCGGGAUGAGCUCGCGGCCUAUCAGCUUGUUGGUGAGGUAAUGGCUCACCAAGGCGACGACGGGUAGCCGGCCUGAGAGGGUGACCGGCCACACUGGGACGGAGACACGGGCAAGACGCCUACGGGAGGCAGCAGUGGGGAAUAUUGCGCAAUGGGCGCAGGCCUGAUGCAGCAACGCCGCGUGAGGGACGACGGCCUUCGGGUUGUAAACCUCUUUUAGUAGGGAAGAAGCGAAAGUGACGGUACCUGCAGAAAAAGCACCGGCUAACUACGUGCCAGCAGCCGCCGUAAUAC